rnacentral:rRNA from 1 species
AGAGUUUGAUCCUGGCUCAGAUUGAACGCUGGCGGCGUGCUUAACACAUGCAAGUCGAACGUGAAAGUCCUUCGGGGCGAGUAAAGUGGCGCACGGGUGAGUAACGCGUGGAUAAUCUACCCUUAAGAUGGGGAUAACGGCUGGAAACGGUCGCUAAUACCGAAUACGCUCCCGAUUUUAUCGUUGGGGGGAAAGAUGGCCUCUGCUUGCAAGCUAUCGCUUAAGGAUGAGUCCGCGUCCCAUUAGCUAGUUGGCGGGGUAACGGCCCACCAAGGCGACGAUGGGUAGCCGGUCUGAGAGGAUGACCGGCCACGACUGGAACUGGAACACGGUCCAGACUCCUACGGGAGCA